UCAGAUAUGGUGUAGUGGGAACAUUGCUUCGUAAUAUGCCGAAAAAAUCUUCAUCUUUCGUGGCAGUCCGAGGUUCGAAUCCUUGUGUCUGAA